rnacentral:rRNA from 1 species
GACGAACCGUGCAAACGUUGUUCGGAAUCACUGGGCUUAAAGGGCGCGUAGGCGGGCCAGCCAGUCUGUGGUGAAAUCCUCCAGCUUAACUGGAGAAGUGCCGUGGAUACUGCUGGCCUCGAGGAGGAUAGGGGCAUCUGGAACGGUCGGUGGAGCGGUGAAAUGCGUUGAUAUCGACCGGAACUCCGGUGGCGAAGGCGAGGUGCUGGGUCCUUUCUGACGCUGAUGCGCGAAAGCCAGGGGAGCAAACGGG